ACUACAAGAAAAGUAGUCUACCACAACAUCAUAAUAACAACAUGCUCUAAAUGAUCGUUGUUACUUAUAGUAUUCGACAAGGGGCAAAGAAUGUGCGUUGUAGUAAACCAUUUAACACUAUAUGCGUCAUUUGCACGUUGUUAAUUUUGUUAUCAACAACCUACUUUGCGUGUUGUUAUCCGCAAGUUGUCAAUUAACUUAUCAACAAGCAGGCGUGCACGUUGUUGAAAUUUUUUUAGAAUGACAACAUGUAACGAACGUUGUCAAAACUUUGAGAGAAAAAAAGAUAAAUAGAAAAUUAUGAGGGGAUGGAGUUGUCCGUUUUAUCCUAAAUUUUAGGAGAAAUUUGAAAUUUCAUUGACCUAACUUCUACAAACUCACUAAACGCCCUCAAAGCCAAAAGCUCAUCUCCCGCCACCAACCCUAGUCGACGGUGACCUUCAUAAUGUUCGAUGGGGUCGGAGCCACCUAGUCAUUUCAGACCUCAAGAUACUUUUCAAGCCGUCAACUCUCUCAAGAUCAGCCCGCUUCUCUCUCUUUGAUUCCCAAGAAGAUCAGCUCGCUUUUCUCUGCGCAUUAUUCCCUUUAAUUCCUGCAAUGCUUCUCCAAUUCUGAUUGCAGGUACUAUUUUUGACUUCUCCAAUUCCAUAGACUCCGACUCGCCGACAAUGGUGGUUCUCCGUUCACUCCCUCACCGCCUCUCUCUUUUUCCGGCGACCUCUGUUCUCUCCGAAACCUCUCUCCGUCCGCGAAAGAUCGGCGUCCGAUUCAAGCAUUUCCUUCCUUGAGUAUCGUCGGAUCUUGUAUCUCACUCGCAGCGAUUCGUGCAUAGCUCGACCUCCAUGGCCAUCAGAGGCGUCGAUUUCAAGUGAUUGUUGCUGUGGCAAAUUUGACGCCAGCUGAUGAUUCAGUGGACGAGCUUGAUAGUUACAUGUAUCAAACUGUAAAUCUCCUUCCUCUUGUCUAUAUUUCACCUUAUUUGAAUGUUUCUUCUUUCAAAAGCAAAGAGUUAAGUUAUGUAUGUAUGUAUGUAUGUUAAAACUUAAUAGUCAUUAACAGAUCAUACACAAAACUAGGAGAUUUUGAGAAAUGAGAAGCUACCAUUGUUUCCGCAGAUUGGAAGCAUGCAUUUUCCUUACUCUGGCAUUUUCCUUACUCUGGAAAUGCCAAAUAAUACACAAAACUAGUUCUGCAAAUUGUUUAGUUUCGAAAAUAUAUGAGGUAAAUUGGAAAUGCCAUGUGUGAGUUUGAUUGGGGGAAGGCCUUUAGUUUGAUUUAACACAUUUAGGCUACAUGUAAUCAGAAUACAUGUGAAUGCAUACAGAACAAAAGCUUUUGGAUUGAUUAUGCAUACAGAACAAAAGCUUUUGGAUUGAUUUGUACAACUCUAGAAGAUGUCUGAGCAUGGUGAGGUGAGUAAAUUAAUACCAGCAACUCUGUAAGGGUAUUUGGUUAUCAUGUUUUUGUAUUCAUUGUUACAACUCUAUAUGAUUCUGUAUUCAUUUAAUCUUCUUUUAUUCAAGUUCGUGGGCUUGGGUUUGGUGCUACACCAUCUCGAGUCAAUGCUACUAUUCAAGGGAGUGCAAAGGUUAAAGAACUUGAAGCUACUGUAUUAAGUCUCCAAGUACAAAAGUUCAUUGUGUGCCUCUUGGACGAGAUUGUUGGAAGGUUUGGGUUGAUGUGGUGUUUGAUGAGUAUCAGAAUAUGGAAGUGUAUAGAGCAACCAUGGAUGCCAAACAACUUGGUGAAGUUGUAGGAAGCACUCUUGCAUGGCCCAAAAGCUCCAUUAAAAUGCUCCCUUAGUAGUUGAAGUAGCAGGUACAUUUUGCUUUACUAGAGAAUUUAUGUAGGUCAGGAAGUACCAUGCAUGUUUUGUGAAUGCUGAUGAACAAAGAAUCCAGUACUUUGUCAUGCUUGUUUUGUAAAGCACAUAUGUAUAAGAGAAUGUGGCACUCCUAAUGAAAUGUAUAUUUUUCAUA